rnacentral:rRNA from 1 species
UACGUAGGGGCUAGCGUUAUCCGGAAUUACUGGGCGUAAAGGGUGCGUAGGUGGUUUCUUAAGUCAGAGGUGAAAGGCUACGGCUCAGCCGUAGUAAGCCUUUGAAACUGGGAAACUUGAGUGCAGGAGAGGAGAGUGGAAUUCCUAGUGUAGCUGUGAAAUGCGUAGAUAUUAGGAGGAACACCAGUAGCGAAGGCGGCUCUCUGGACUGUAACUGACGCUGAGGCACGAAAGCGUGGGGAGCAAACAGGAUUAGAUACCCGGGUAGUCCCUGAG